rnacentral:rRNA from 1 species
CCUACGGGAGGCAGCAGCAAGGGAUAUUCCGCAAUGGGCGCAAGCCUGACGGAGCGACGCCGCGUGGGGGAGGAAGCCCUUCGGGGUGUAAACCCCUUUUCGGUGGGAUGAAGACAGUGACAGUACCACCGGAAGAAGGACCGGCUAACUACGUGCCAGCAGCCGCGGUAAGACGUAGGGUCCGAGCGUUGUCCGGAAUUACUGGGCGUAAAGGGCGCGUAGGCGGUGCUUCGCGUCGCACGUGAAAGCCCCCGGCUCAACCGGGGAGGGUCGUGCGAGACGGGAGCACUUGAGGCAGGGGAGGCUGGUGGAAUUCCCGGAGUAGUGGUGGAAUGCGUAGAGAUCGGGAGGAACACCGGUGGCGAAGGCGGCCAGCUGGGCCUGACCUGACGCUGAGGCGCGAAGGCGUGGGGAGCGAACGGGAUUAGAUACCCUGGUAGUCC